rnacentral:rRNA from 1 species
UACGUAGGGGGCAAGCGUUGUCCGGAUUUAUUGGGCGUAAAGAGCGUGUAGGCGGCCAGGUAGGUCCGUUGUGAAAACUCGAGGCUCAACCUCGAGACGCCGAUGGAAACCAUCUGGCUAGAGUCCGGAAGAGGAGAGUGGAAUUCCCGGUGUAGCGGUGAAAUGCGCAGAUAUCAGGAAGAACACCCGUGGCGAAGGCGGCUCUCUGGGACGGUACUGACGCUGAGACGCGAAAGCGUGGGGAGCGAACAGG